UUUGGUGGCUAUUGCGGGCAGGAUCACCUCUUACCAUUCCGAACAGAGAAGUUAAGCUGCCCAGCGCCGAUGGUACUUGGACAUUGAUCCCGGGAGAGUAGGUCGCCGCCAAUU
rfam:Lewinella sp. 4G2 scaffold27_cov53_read170, whole genome shotgun sequence.